rnacentral:rRNA from 1 species
UACGGGGGGGCAAGCGUUGUUCGGAUUUACUGGGCGUAAAGGGCGCGUAGGCGGCCACCGCAAGUCGGUUGUGAAAUCUCCGGGCUUAACCCGGAAAGGUCAAUCGAUACUGCGGGGCUAGAGUGCAGAAGGGGCAACUGGAAUUCUCGGUGUAGCGGUGAAAUGCGUAGAUAUCGAGAGGAACACCUGCGGCGAAGGCGGGUUGCUGGGCUGACCCUGACGCUGAGGCGCGAAGGCGUGGGGAGCGAACGGG